AGAAAAUUACUCAGUAUUUUUUUCUAUGAAGAACGGCAAGCCCAUCCCAAUCCAAUUCCGAUUUAAUCGCCUGGAUGGGUCAUUGGAGUAUUAAUAAAAAUUGAAACUUUGGUGUUUCAGACCAGGCGCCUCCCAAGGUAUCGAAUUGCAGUCAGGCGAUUCCAGGGCUUCAGAGUUAUAAAGCUUGACUGCAUGAAACCAAACAAGUUCCUUCAUGCAAUUGAAAAUUUAAACAGUAAUACAUUAAAGCUCUAUACUUUUGAGUCCGGCGUCAUUUUCCUGACUGGAGUUUCAAUAUUAUCAUCAUCCUCAGUUCAUACUUAAGGCAGUACCUAUAAUGUCAUCUUCAUGUGCUGUACUUCAGCAGGUCCGCCAUGGUCUCAAUAGUAGCGCAUUACCCAAAGUUUCUUCCUCUGUAUCACAGCUCAUAGGACCCUCCCGAAAUCUAUAAAAUCUCCAACCCACCGUCACCACCACUACCACCACCAUUGUUUGAUUUCUUCUACCAUGUAGUUCCUGGUACGAAAUCUAAAACUGUGGUUAGAAGAUUAGAAUUAGCUUGGAAUCAUGAUUCAUUGAUAGCUUUGAAGUUGAUAUGCAAUUUAUGAGUCUAAAACUGUGGUUAGAAGCUUGGAAUCAUGAUUCAUUGAUAGUUCCUGGCACGAAAUCUAAAACUGUGGUUAGAAGAUUAGAAUUAACUGUGAUUGAGAGACACGAAACACCGGCAGAAAUAAGGAUUCAAGAAAACAUGGAAAGGGUUCAGUUAGUGAAAAGAAGGGCGCGUGGACUGAGAAAUGAAGGGCUGUCUUUUCUUUCUAAGCAGCAACUUCUUCUGUUUUAAUUCUGUGUUUCAUGUUCAUCUAUCCCACAGUACCUUUCCCUCUUUCUGUCAUUGUGAUUGGAAGUCCACAAAGUCAUUUGUUGCUGUAAGUUCUUUCUUUCUUUACAUUUGAUUGGGUACAUCUGGACUUUGUGCCAAGCAUAAAGUGCACAUUGGAAUUCCCAGAAUCAGUUUACAUCUUAGUAUAAUUCUUGGAAAAUCGGGAUGCUCUGUAUGGCCAAUUGUAUUCAUAAUAUGAGGUAGGAAUUACCAAUAGAUACCAUUAUAGUGUUCUUAGUUAGUGGCAGGUCCACCCAUUAAAGUCCAGUAAUCAGGGGUCCAUAAUUAAAAGAAAACAUGAAAAUGGACCAAAUUUUUUUUGCCCGGGUCCUGCACACGUGCGAGAUCAGGUAUACGUAAUAUGAAAAUACCACAAAUAAUCUUUCCUAUUUAAUAUGUUAAAAGCAUGAGAAAUAUUUUUCACAUUUCAUAUUCAUUUUCUUCUUCUCUUUCCUCUCACCAUUGUUGCAGAUGAAGAUGAAGAUUUGUUUUUGUUCUUUCUCGUUUCUACCGAAUCAGAUGAUGAAGAUUUUCCAUUGUAAUGUUUCUUUUAAGGUUUUGGCGAUCUAAUCAUUGUUGUGCUUGAUUAUGUUUUCGAUCUCCAUGGUUGAUUUGUCGACUAUAUAUUAGAUCUAGAUGAAUAAUCACAUUUUUUGUUCAUUUCGUUGCUAGAUUCGAUUAUGCCACUUCCAUUUUAGAUGUUUUAGAU